rnacentral:rRNA from 1 species
UACAGAGGUGGCAAGCGUUGUUCGGAAUUACUGGGCGUAAAGGGCGCGUAGGCGGCCCGUCAAGUCCCGUGUGAAAGCCCCCGGCUCAACCGGGGAACUGCACGGGAAACUAGCAGGCUUGAGUUCGGGAGAGGGAAGCGGAAUUUCGGGUGUAGCGGUGAAAUGCGCAGAUAUCCGAAGGAACACCGGUGGCGAAGGCGGCUUCCUGGACCGACACUGACGCUGAGGCACGAAAGCGUGGGGAUCAAACAGG